UUAAAACAUUUACUAUGGCCAAUCAAAACUAUUACACGUCAUUGAGAAUUCAGUAUCAAGAGUAUUUAAAUACUGCUUUUCUGUGCAUGUAACUUACGGAGAGCUUAUUUUUCAAAUCAACUGUAAGUAUAUUUAAAUUAAAGAGGUAAAAUUUUACAAAAAUAUUUGCAGACCCAUUUCACUGGUAAUGAUAACCAAGUUUUUAAAAGAAAACAAGGAAAAUAAGUAGACCACUUUCGAGAUCGUGUCAAUCCAGUUAAAAACUUUGUCUAAAGAACACAUUUUUGGUAUCUUCAUUUCAUUCCCAUAUGUAUAUAUUUAAACGAGCGAUUACAAAAGUAUGAUUUUAUAUAGCUCGGAUUUUUCGGCAAUUCAAAAAAUAUGAUUCUAUAAUGCACUAAUAUUUCGCCGAAUCAAAAUAUCAUAAUUGAUCAUCAGUACUGCUCCCAUUUUGGAAUUGUGAUUAAGUACCUUUGGAACAAAUAUUGUUUCUAGUUUAAUUUGCAUAAUAACAAUAGCGAGGUGAACUUUAAUAAUGCAAGGAUCCCUUGUAUCUGGUAAAUGACGUUAUAAAAGCGCACAUAGUUGCAAAAUUUUCAAGUGAAAGACAUGAAUCUAAAAUGGUCUUUUCAUCAUUGUAGCGUAUCUCGUGCAUAACUUAUCGUUUAUGGAAGAAAUCAAUCGUAGCUAGAAACAGUUUGGAUGAUGCCUGUAAGUUUAGAAACUCAUGUCCGUAACUGAGAUAAAAUCUUUACUAAAUUCUUCCAAAGAUUCAAAGAUUUAGUCGGCAACUUUGGCUGUAUAUGAAUUCAAUUAGUUUUUAUUGGCUUUGAACUAGUUGCCAGUAACUCCAAGUAAAUAUGUACAUUUUGAGUUGUUAGGGAUAAAGGAAGGAUAUAUACCCUGUCAAGUCCGGUCUUUGUUUUUGUUAGCUGUUUUUCUUUAUUUGCCUGUUCCAAAUCAGGAGCCUGUGGUUUAGUGGUCGUCAUUCGUUUAUGACUGUCAUAUUGGUUUUCGUAAAUUCUUUUGUUUUAAAUUAAUCUUUACUAUUCCUAAUUAGAUAAUUUUAUAUUUUUCAUGGCGGGACCUUUUAUAGACGACAAUACGGUGUGGGUUUUCCCAUUGUUGAAGGCCGUGCUGUUGCCUAUAAUGCUUACAUCCACUUCAUUUGAAUUUUGGUAGCUAGUUGUCGCAAUAGCAUAUGUAGCGGUUAUGUAUUUCAUGUAUGUAACUGUAAAUGCCAGGAAAAGUUUUGAUGUGUUUAUUGUUUAAAAGAGAGACGAAAGAUACCAAAGGGACAGUCAAACUCAUAAAUUUAAAACAAACUGACAACGCCAUGGCUAAAAAUGAAAAAGACAAACAGAAAAACAAUAGAACACAUGACACAACAUAGAAAACUAAGAAUAAACAACACGAACCCCACCAAAAACUAGGGGUGAUCUCAGGUGCUCCGGAAGGGUAAGCAGAUCCUGCUCCACAUAUGGCACCCGUCGUGUUGCUUAUGUGAUUACAAAUCCGGUAAAUAGUCUAAUUCGGUAGGUCACAUUCAAAGUAUGCUAUCAGAAGUUGUGAAAAACCCUCUACAGUUUGUUAUUGAUAUGGAACCUUUCAUGUUAGGAGUAUUAUCAAUUACAAGUAGGUUUGUUUGGAAACAAAACAAUAUUAAGUUACUUUUUUUAAAUACUUAUACCGAAAGCUAGCAAUUUUGUAUAUACAUGACUGUAGUGUCCAUGGACACACACAAAAAAUAAAUAAAACAAACACAACCUUCCUGUAUACCUUGAAGAUCUGAUUAAUAUCUAUUAUUGAAUAUAAAUAAAAUCAAAGAAAUAGACAAUAAUAGAUUUUACAUAACAUUUCACAUGUUCUACAAUUUAAAUACGGGAAAAGAUGGGUUGACUAUAACAUAUUGAUAAUAUUUGCUGAAAGUUCAUUGACAGAUAUUUUGUGCAUGUUCCAGAUAAAGGUUCUGUAAUGUUAGUAACACUGUUUCUAUAAAAUAGUCGAUACUUGGUGUGUUAAGAAUAUAUGUUUCCCUGUACAGAAUUUUAAUUCCGUUAAAAUAUAAAUAAAUGACAAUAUCUUCAAUAUAUUUUGAUAUGAGCGUCACUGAUGAGUCUUAUGAAGACGAAACGAGCGUCUGGCGUACUAAAUUACAAUCCUGGUACCUUUGAUAACUAUAUUCAAUAUAAUACUAAUAGAUCUUUGCAUUUAUACGGUCAUUAUCACUUUUUUCAUAAUAAUAAUAGUUAUUUCCAAUGUAAACAGGCCAAUAGCUCUUUGUAAUUGUAAGAAAUUUGUCACUUUGAAAACAGUUCAGCCUUCCAAAAAAAGGGGAUUUAUUUUGUUCCUUUUAUUAUGACGAUUUUCUAUUGCUAUGAAUCAUUGUAACAAUUUACAUACAAUUUGUAGCCUUCAGAAUCAUUUACGAAUUAUUGAUCUAUCAGUAAAGGAUAUAAAUUAUUUUUGUUAUUCUUUAUUACGACAUAAACCUGAUUUUUUAACGACUGAUUUCUUUAAUAAACAGUAUCUGCAAAAUAAAAGCAACAGUAGUAUUCCAUGUUCACAAAAUUCAUAAAUAUAUUGAGAGAAAUCAAAUCAGAAUUACAAACCGAAGGAAAACAAGUCAACUUUAAGAAGAAAAGAACAGAAAAACAAUAACACCGAAGUUCAACAAAAAUAAACUCCAAUGCUGCGUAAAUAGAAACGAACCAUUUGACAACAACUGCAUUAUUUCUGACAAGGUACAUAUACACAACAUUUAAAGAAAACAUGGGGCGGCGGUGAACCUGAUUUUAGGCAAAAUAAAUCGAUCAUGCGGCUCUUUUACCAAGAAUAAUCUUACCACAAAAUGAAUUCAAAGUUAUAAUUUAAAGCUCGUGACUAAUUUUAUAAUACGAUAUGUCAAUUAGAAAACAAUCUAAAGACAAAAAUAACCGUGGGACAUUAUACAUGAAGUCCAUAUACAUAUUUUCUAGCAAUUAAAUGCAAAAAUUAGUAUCAUUGAAAUCGACUCAUUAUUUACUAAGUAAAUGUUUUUAAUGUUAAAUGCGCUGCUGAAUCUCUCAUGAAAAAAAUAGAAAUAUAUACAUAAGAGGCUUCAUUAAGACAUCAAAAUGGAUUUUAUUUUGGUUAUUUUUACUAUGAUUUUUACAUUUUGCAGAUAUUUGCCCCUAAUUCCUUGUUAUAACUAAAACUAUGAAGUAUUUUGUCGUGGUGUUUGUAUAUUUACUCUUUGCUACAGGUAAAU
rnacentral:lncRNA from 1 species